GCAGCGACACUAUGUGUUGUUGGGUAGGGGAGCGUUCUGUAAGCCUGCGAAGGUGACCUGUGAGGGUUGCUGGAGGUAUCAGAAGUGCGAAUGCUGACAUAAGUAACGAUAAAGCGGGUGAAAAGCCCGCUCGCCGGAAGACCAAGGGUUCCUGUCCAACGUUAAUCGGGGCAGGGUGAGUCGACCCCUAAGGCGAGGCCGAAAGGCGUAGUCGAUGGGAAACAGGUUAAUAUUCCUGUACUUGGUGUUACUGCGAAGGGGGGACGGAGAAGGCUAUGUUAGCCGGGCGACGGUUGUCCCGGUUUAAGCAUGUAGGCUGAUUGUCCAGGCAAAUCCGGAUAAUCAAGGCUGAGGUGUGAUGACGAGGCACUACGGUGCUGAAGUAACAAAUGCCCUGCUUCCAGGAAAAGCCUCUAAGCAUCAGGUAACAUUAAAUCGUACCCCAAACCGACACAGGUGGUCAGGUAGAGAAUACCAAGGCGCUUGAGAGAACUCGGGUGAAGGAACUAGGCAAAAUGGUGCCGUAACUUCGGGAGAAGGCACGCUGGUGUGUAGGUGAAGUCCCUGCGGAUGGAGCUGAGACCAGUCGAAGAUACCAGCUGGCUGCAACUGUUUAUUAAAAACAC
rnacentral:rRNA from 1 species